rnacentral:rRNA from 1 species
GGCGCAGCUACACAUGCAGUCGAGCGGUAGCACAGAGAGCUUGCUCUCGGGUGACGAGCGGCGGACGGGUGAGUAAUGUCUGGGAAACUGCCUGAUGGAGGGGGAUAACUACUGGAAACGGUAGCUAAUACCGCAUAACGUCGCAAGACCAAAGUGGGGGACCUUCGGGCCUCAUGCCAUCAGAUGUGCCCAGAUGGGAUUAGCUAGUAGGUGGGGUAAUGGCUCACCUAGGCGACGAUCCCUAGCUGGUCUGAGAGGAUGACCAGCCACACUGGAACUGAGACACGGUCCAGACUCCUACGGGAGGCAGCAGUGGGGAAUAUUGCACAAUGGGCGCAAGCCUGAUGCAGCCAUGCCGCGUGUGUGAAGAAGGCCUUCGGGUUGUAAAGCACUUUCAGCGGGGAGGAAGGCGUUAAGGUUAAUAACCUUGGCGAUUGACGUUACCCGCAGAAGAAGCACCGGCUAACUCCGUGCCAGCAGCCGCGGUAAUACGGAGGGUGCAAGCGUUAAUCGGAAUUACUGGGCGUAAAGCGCACGCAGGCGGUCUGUCAAGUCGGAUGUGAAAUCCCCGGGCUCAACCUGGGAACUGCAUUCGAAACUGGCAGGCUAGAGUCUUGUAGAGGGGGGUAGAAUUCCAGGUGUAGCGGUGAAAUGCGUAGAGAUCUGGAGGAAUACCGGUGGCGAAGGCGGCCCCCUGGACAAAGACUGACGCUCAGGUGCGAAAGCGUGGGGAGCAAACAGGAUUAGAUACCCUGGUAGUCCACGCCGUAAACGAUGUCGAUUUGGAGGUUGUGCCCUUGAGGCGUGGCUUCCGGAGCUAACGCGUUAAAUCGACCGCCUGGGGAGUACGGCCGCAAGGUUAAAACUCAAAUGAAUUGACGGGGGCCCGCACAAGCGGUGGAGCAUGUGGUUUAAUUCGAUGCAACGCGAAGAACCUUACCUGGUCUUGACAUCCACAGAACUUUCCAGAGAUGGAUUGGUGCCUUCGGGAACUGUGAGACAGGUGCUGCAUGGCUGUCGUCACCUCCUGUUGUGAAAUGUUUGGGUUAAAUCCCCGCACCAAGGGCAACCCUUAUUCUUUUGUUGCCCCCGGUUUUGCCCGGAAAUCCAAGGAGAACGGCCCUUGAUAAACUGGAGAAAGGUGGGGGAAGACCUCCCCCUCUCCCCGGGCCCUUUUAAAAAAGGGGGA